rnacentral:misc_RNA from 1 species
UGUGUGGAGUACAGGUGCCGGGAAAAUGGCUGAAUUCAACGUAAAGUUUGUCGGGCAAAAAUUAAGCAAAAUUCGAUGGCGACCUACGCAAUCACAGUCCAUUAUACAAUCAGAUGUAUUUGCCACGGGGAGCUGGGAUGACGAGGACAACAAGAUCCGUCUGUGGAGUCUGGAACAACUCAGUCGGGAUGACAGGGAGGGUCCUGGCAGUGUGCUGGACAGCGAGCCACACGAGUUGUGCAGCGUCACACAGAGAGGGGACGUCACAGACCUCAGUUUUAUAACGAAUGACCACAUAGCAGCAGCAUCUUCAACUGGAAAUGUAGCUAUAUAUCGCCACCAUAUCAACUCACAGACCCUGAGUGUGGCCCACAGCUGGGACGAUGUCCAUCACUUGGCGGCAGGGUCAUGUUCCUGCACUUGUUUAACAACUAAGGGAGACGAUGUAGUUGUAUCUGGUGGAGAGGAUGGAAGGAUUGUCGUUCUGAAUGUCAACCGGAGGCAACCAGAGAGAGUCAUUGAAUCUGCUGACAGUUGUACUAUAAAUGCCAUCACGUUUCUGAAACAGACAGAGGUUAUCACCGUCAAUUCCUUUGGACAGUUGAAGAUAUUUGACUUUCGACAGAACACUGCAGUUCCAACAAGAACCUACACAGUGACAGAAGAACACAGCUCACUGCAGUGUGUGGCUAAGCACCCUGGUCAGGCCCACAUUGUGGCCACAGGGGGCCAGGACGGGAUGCUGACAAUCUGGGACCUCCGUCAGGACAAGUUUCCCAUGACAUUGCUAGAGGCCCACAGUGCCACCAUGUGGGAGGUGAAGUUCCAUCCCCACAACCCAGACCAUCUGUUCACCUGCUCAGAUGAUGGCUCAGUCUGGCACUGGGAUGGGACGUCUGUCAGGGGCAGCGCAUCUACUUCAUCGUUUGUGUCAGGGUUACGAGGAGACAGUGCCAGCAGCACGGGACACAUCAGCUCGUGGCUGAACCUGGACUCCGCCCGGCAGAAGCUGGAGAUCACCUCCCUCCUCCCCACGAGGUCACUUCCUGUCAACUCCCUCGAUAUAGACCGCGAUACCCUCCUGUGUGGUACAGACAGUGAGACCCUCUACACUAUCUCCUUGCCAGGCCUGGUGUAGAGCUUCUCACUAACCAAGUCCUAAAUGCCAUAUCACUACCCGAGUCCCUAACCCAUCUCACUACCCCAUCUCACUACCCAGUCCCUACCCCCAUCUCACUACCCCCAUCUCACUACCCGGUCCCUACCAACCAUCUCACUACCCAGGUCCCUACCCCCCAUCACACUACCCCAUCUCACUACCCAGGUCCCUACCCCCCAUCACACUACCCCAUCUCACUACCCAGGUCCCUAACCCCAUCUCACUACCCCCAUCCCACUACCCAGGUCCCUAACCCCAUCUCACUACCCCCAUCUCACUACCCGGUCCUUACCCACUUCUCACUACCCCCAUCUCACUACGCAGGUCCCUAACCCCAUCUCACUACCCCCAUCUCACUACCCGGUCCCUACCCCCAUCUCACUACCCAGGCCCUACCCCCAUCUCACUACCCAGUCCCUACCCCCAUCUCACUACCCAGGCCCUACCCCCAUCUCACUACCAGUGUCCCUAACCCAUCUCACUACCCAGUCCCUACCCCAUCUCACUACCCAGUCCCUACCCCCAUCUCACUACCCAGGCCCUACCCCAUCUCACUACCCAGUCCCUACCCCAUCUCACUACCCAGUCCCUACCCCCAUCUCACUACCCAGUCCCUACCCCCAUCUCACUACCCAGUCCCUACCCCCAUCUCACUACCAGUGUCCCUAACCCAUCUCACUACCCAGUCCCUACCCCAUCUCACUACCCAGUCCCUACCCCAAUCUCACUACCCAGGCCCUACCCCAUCUCACUACCCAGGCCCUACCCCAUCUCACUACCAGUGUCCCUAACCCAAUCUCACUGCCCAGGCCCUACCCCCAUCUCACUACCUAGUCCCUACCCCCAUCUCACUACCCGUAUCUCACUACCCAGACCCUACCCCAAUCACACAACCCCAGCCCCACCUCCGUCUCACUACCCAGGCCCUACCCAAUCUCACUACCCAGACCCUACCCCCAUCGCACUACCCAAUCCCUACCACAUCCCAUUGCCCAAGUCCCUACCCUAUCACACAACCCUAGCACAACCUCCGUCUCACUACCCAAAUCCCUGCCCCUAUUUCCACACCCUCAUCUCACUACCCCUAUUUCAUUACCCCCAUCUCACCGCCCCAGUACACCAUCGUCAUGUAUAGGAUAACCAUUGUCAUGUAUAGGAUAUUAUUUUGAACUAAUGUUGUGUAUGUUCAUUGUAUAUGAUCAACUGCUAAAAUAAAUGUUUUCUACUAUCAA